GUGACAAUCGGUCUGCGCGGGCGCAGUGGCGGCAGCCGCUGCACCCGCGUGGCUAGAAGCCCACGGUCUGCAGGCGAGUUGAGGUUUCAGGUCAUUCCAGCUUCGGCCGUGGGGCCCCGCUCAGACGCGCGCCUGUCUCCUGGUGAAAUCCUGGAGGCUGUCCUUUCCACCGUCCUGUCUGCACGAGGAGGACACAGGGGUCAGCUUCCUGGGAGAAGGGAGUCGUCCGGAUGGCUGGUCCCCGGAGGGAUGACUUACUGCAUGAACAUCGAAAUCAGAUGAACCCUGACGGCGACAGCGAUGCCAAGCCUCUUCCUCUGCUGCCAGACGCCUGCUCCAAGGAAGUUUCCUAAAACCAGAUAUCGCCACCUCCUCCUUCCUCCUGCUCCACCUGAGCCUCUGCUUCCUCUGCGGAGAACCUUGUGCCCAGGAAUCCACCUAAAUCCAGAUAUCGCCACCUCCUCCUUCCUCCUGCUCCACCUGAGCCUCUGCUUCCUCUGCGGAGAACCUUGUGCCCAGGAAUCCACCUAAAUCCAGAUAUCGCCACCUCCUCCUUCCUCCUGCUCCACCUGAGCCUCUGCUUCCUCUGCGGAGAACCUUGUGCCCAGGAAUCCACCUAAAUCCAGGAACCUUGUGCCCAGGAAUCCACCUAAAUCCAGAUAUCGCCACCUCCUCCUUCCUCCUGCUCCACCUGAGCCUCUGCUUCCUCUGCGGAGAACCUUGUGCCCAGGAAUCCACCUAAAUCCAGAGAUCUCCUCCUUCCCUCCCAUGUUAGCCUCUACCACUCCCAGUGACAAGGAACCCUCCCCCAAUCCAGGGAUCUCUACAAGCUCCCUCUUCCCUCUGCACCCGAGCCGCUUCAGCCUCAGCAGGACACGCAUUCGAAGGAACCUGUCUACAUCCAUGAAAGCUUUUUCUUCCCUCCCACCUGAGCCUCUUUCUGUGCUGCCAGAACCUGUUGCAAGGAAGAUACUUCAAACAGAGGUCUCCGCAGCCUCUGUCUUCCCUCUGUAGCUGAGCUGCUUCUGCCUCUGCAGGACUCCACUUGAAGGAAGCUGUCUAAAUCCAUGUAAGCUCCUCGUAUUUUUUUCCCUCCCCCCUGAGGCUCUUCCUCCUCACCAGACACCUGUUCCAAGGAAGCUCCUGCAACAAGGGUGUGGGCUUGUGUCGUGAAGGUUGAGUAUCCAGAGUGACAGUGAAGAAUCCAUACUCCCACCCAAGAGUGGAUUUCAGUGUGCCUGAGAGGAAGAAGAGGAAGACAUCCUGCUGGCAUGUGCCCCAGGUCAGUGCAGACCAGAGUUUUGCUGUGGGAGGCAGAGGAAGGGCUGAGAGUUAUUAGAGCACAUGUCCACCAGAGGGCACCAGAGCCCCUCAUCGCCUCUGCAGCUCCCUGUUUGUAUCUCCAGGCUCAGAAGGGGUUGGAAGAGGGACCCAUGGAACCUCAGGGAGGGGCCCAGAGCCCGGUGUUGGUUUGCAUGGUGCCUCUGACACUGUGGCCCCAUUUGCCUCAAUGCAGGGAGGGGACAGAUUUCUGCCAUUAAAUAUCUAAUUCAGUUCCUAUCUGGCUGGGUGGCCCCAAGUUUAGGGAGUUUGAUAGGCUCUUGGUCUGUGUGUCCUUUACUUGUUUGGAAGCAGAACUCUGGACCCAGAAACACCUGGCUUCAAUGGUGGAUGUUCAGUUUUCUAGAAUCAGCCUGGUGGGGAGUUCGGCUUCUGGAAAGCUGGGCUUCGGUGAUGAAUGGGGUGUGUCUGUGCUGUUGUAUUUCAGGGGUGGGGUGGGCUAUGCACAUGGCUGAGCUCUUUUUCUCCAGAGAUGCCCACAACCUUCAUAUUUCCACUGCCCCUGAGCCACUUCCACCUCUGCGUGACACCCUUUGAAGGAAGCUCUCUCCAUCCAUGUAAGGUGAAUCACGGCUGGGUUGUUUAGUGUUCCAAGGUGAGUCCUGGAUAGGUAGGCUGCUCAUUCAAACCUGCUGGCCUGACUUACAUAGGAGGUUGCUGAUUUUAGGGAGUGGAUAAAUGUGGGCGGGGUGAGGGGCCUGGCUGACGUGAGACAGUCCCUCCCCACCCGUCAUGCAUCUGAGUGUGCUGAGAGGGAGAGCAGUAAGAAAGCCACCUGACAGCUGCCCCAGGCCCGGGCAGAGCAGGGUUCCUCUGUGGGAGGCAGAGGAAGGGCUGAGACUUGCUGUGAGGGCCUCUGUCCACCAGCCUGAGCCGGAGCAACAGCAGAGCUUCCCCUGACCCCCGCCUACUCUCACCACCGUGGCCACAUCACCAGGCUCAGAUUCAGAGAGCAAAGGGCUUGGGGGAGGCCCAAGGAGGUACUUGGGUACUUGGUGCCUCCUAUACUGUUGCCCAAUGUGCUUCGACUCAGAGGAGGAUUAAGGUUCUGCCCCACAUUUCAGGUUCAAUCUGUGCAUGAUCAGGUGGCCCAAUGGCUGGAGAGUUUGACAGGUGGUCUCGGGCCUGAGUGCCCUUUGCUGGUUUGAAGCACAUUGCUGGACCCAGAAACCCCUGCCUUAAAUCUUGGGCGUGCGGAGUUGUAAAUCAGCCUGGGGUGAAAUUUGGCUUCUGGAAAGCUGGGCUUUUGGUCAUGAAUGCAGUGCAUUAAUGUGGUGGUGCUGUGGGGGCAGGUCUCAGCCUCUCCCUGUGCCUUUCUCUCUAGAGAUCUCUACCUCCUCCUUCCUCCUGUUCCUCCUCUGUGGGGGAGCCUGUCAAGGAACCUACCUCAAUUCAGGGAGUGUGAAUGACGCCUGGGAGGUCCUGGAUCUCAAGCCAGGUACAGGGUUGCGGGGUGCUGAUGGAGGGCCACCUGGUUCCAUUAACUUACCAAGGUGUCUGAUUUCAGGGAGCGGGGUGGUCUCAGUUGGGCUGAGGGCCCUGGCUGACUCUGAGAUAGUCCCCCCAUCAUGCCUUUCAGUGUGCUGUGAGGGAGAGGACUUAGGAAACCAGGCUGGCAAGGGGCCCAGGCCUCUGCCUGGAGUGCAGACCAGGCUUCUGCUGUGGGAGGCAGAGGGAGGCCUGAGAGUGUUAGAGCAGAUGGCCACCAGAUGGCGCCAUAGCACCAGAGUGCCCCCUGCUGCAUCGCCUGGACUUCACCUUCAGGCCCCCAGGCAAGAUUGGAGAUGGGUCUUGGUCCAGUGGCCCAAUGGCUAGAGAGUUUGACAGGCUAACUCAGGUCCGAUUCCCGUUGGUAGUUUGGAGGCACAACUCUGGACCCAGAAAUACCAGGCUUGGAUUUUGGCCCUACAAUUUGCUGGACUCAGGCUGGUCCAUGUAGAAUGUACUUCCAGAAAGGUGGCCUUCUGGUUGUGAAGGCGCCGUGUCAGCACAGUGGUUUCGGGCGCAGACUGUGCUCAUACCUAUGCUCUUUCUCUCCAGAGAUCUCAAGCUUUUCCUUCCCUCCCACCUGAUCCUCUCCCUCCUCCGCCAGACACCUGCUGCAGGGAGGUCCUAAAACCAGGUAACUUUUACAAAGGCUGCAUGGUCCUUGGGUUCAUGCUGGGUCCUAGGCUUGAAGGGUGCUGACUGAUCAGGGGCUGCUCAUAGGACUUACCAAGUGGGGUUGUUGAUUUCAGGGUGUGGGGUGAGUUCCGGCUCUGAGAUUGUCACACCCCAGCCCGUAGCGUGUUUCUGGGCGCUGAAAGGGAGAGGAGGAAGGAAAUCACACUGGCAGUGCCCCCGGGCCCUGCAGAGCGGACUUCUGACGUGGGAGGCUGUCAGGGCUCCGAGUUGCUGUUAGAGCAGCACAUUCUGGUCAAAGGGCUCUGGAGAACCCCGGAGACCCUCCACUCCUUCAGGCUGAAAUACAUGGUUGCCGAUUGUAUGACGAGACCCCAUGGAAGUGCUCGGGGCUGAGAUGGGGUUACAGGGCGCCUCUUAUCAUCUGGCCAAUUUCUUUCACCUCAGGAUACUGGCAUAAUUGCUCACACAUCUUUGGUUCAAAUUCAGCGUGUUUCUCUGAUAAAUGACCAGAAAAUUUGACAGGGCUGACAUCACGCCCUCUCCUCUUGGGUGUUCAGUUCGCUGAGAGGAAGGGGCAGAGGACACUCACGCCGGUCUGUGCCCAAGACCAGUGCUUCAAACGUCAAAGCCCCAUCUUUAGCCCUGGUGUUUCUGGACCCAAGGGUCUGCCUCUGGAGAAACAGGGCCAGCUGACCCAGGGAGCCUGUCACACUCUGGCCCUGGGGCACCGAUCUGGCUGACAUGCCGCCAGAUGCUGAGGGCACAGCUGUGUCCCUGCCCUGAGGUGAGUCCGUUUGGCCAGAGCCGUAGAGGCUCCCUGUUUCCAGCCCCAAGCCUAUGAGCAUGUGCUGAGGGUCCCACAUCCUCCCUCAGCUGCAGCUCUGAGCCCGCAGUCUCAGCCAGGCGUCUGCCAGGGGCUCUGCCUGGGCUGGGGUUCAGCCUGGCGACCUUCAUCUAACACCCGUCUCGCAGCCCUUCCUCCUGUUUCUCAGCCGCCCUAGAAGGUACUCGGGCCUGGGGCCUGGGCUGCUUUAUUUCACACUGGCCUUGGCUGCUCAGUUUCAUUUCUCCUCAGCUGCUGAGCCACGUGAAUAUCCUAGAUACUGGGGUAUUUCCCUCUCCCAGUCUCCCCGAGCGCUCACCCCAACUUACCCCACCCCAAUACGUAAAAACCUCUGCAUCCCCACCAUUGGGUACCGAGAGCCUUCUUUAAAUCACUCCCAACUGCCUUCCCUCUCAGGCCCUUCCUUUAGUUCUGCUGCUUAAAACCGUGAUUGCAGACAGGACAUAGAGGUUCAGAUGGAAGGGAAAGAAAGAAUCUGGGGAGAACUCCUGAAAAAUAAAGCACAGGGGUUCCUGUCUGCCCCCUCAAAAUAGCACCACUUUCACAAGCUCCAUUCAUGACCACCAGCCCCAUUGGACACGUGAUGACUUUACAGAAGCUGCAGGGUUGGUAAUUGCGAGGCCAAGAUUCAAGCAGAUAUUGUGGGUCCAGUGUCCCUGCCCCCUGAGAAACUAAGAGCAAACCAACCCCAGAGAACGUGUCCACCUCUCUGGCCCCUGGCAGCCAGAGCCGGAUGGAACUACCCAUCAGAUGCAGAAAGCACAUGUCUUUCUGCUCCCUGAGGUCAGUCGAUUGGUGCCAGAGAGUCGGAUCUUAACACAUCCUGGGGCUCCCACUAACCCCUCUUGGCACCACCUCGUAGCCUGGAGGUGCAGCCAGGGGGCUUCGGAUGGGCUUUGUCUGUGCUCUGGCCCCUUCCGGAGGCCAUCUCCUCUAACACUGACUCUCAGCCUUUCCUCCGGUUUCCCUCAGCGGCCCCCCAGGGCUCUCCUGGCCUUGGGCAGCUGCCAGCUUGAUAGAAUUCCUCCUCACCUUCUAAGCCAAGUGAAGUGCCCUGAGAGAGGGACAAUUCUCUCAAAGACUCCCAGCACACUCCCCCACCCCAACUUAAUGCAUUAAAAUCCUUUUAAUUACCCUACUUUAAUUCCCGAGAACCACCUUUAAGUCUGCUCCCUGAAACAGGGCUUGGGGACAGGAAAACGAGGCCCCAAAGGAAAGAGAGAGGGAAUUUGGGGGAGGGUCCUGAAGCACAAAGCCUGGCGAUUUGCACAGUCGCCCAGAGGAGCCAGCACCACUGUUAGGCGCUCCAUUCCUGACCAUCAGCCCCUUUGCCGCAGGACAGUGACCUGGGUGGGGGGCGGGGCUUGGCAGUUGCGAGGCCAAGAUUCCGACCAGAGUCCUGCCUCUGAGAAACCAAAAGCAAUCCAUCCCCAGAGAACCUGUCAACUCUCUGGCCCCUGGGCCACCCAGGCAGGCUGGAAACGCCCAUCAGAUGCUGAAGGCACAGCCAUGACCCCUCCCUGAGGUGAGGCCAUUUGGGACAGAGAAUUAGAGGCACCCCAACCACCCCCAAAUCGAUGCGCCUGUGCUGAGUGCACCCACAUUCCUUCUUCUACUCGGGCUCUGAGCCUGAAUGUGCUGCCAGGCAGCGGCAGAGAGUCUCCGCCGGGGCUCCAUGUGGCCUGGUGACCAUCUGCUCCGACUCCAUCUCUCAGCCCUUCCUCCCGAUCCCCUCAGCAGCCCCUGGAGCUACCCUCUCCUUGGGCCCUGGCCGCUUGAUUUCAUUGCUCCUCAGCCACCCACUACAAUGAAGUACCCCAGACACUGGGUCAUUCUCAGUUUCCCGCAUCCCCGGACAUUCAAACUCUCUGCCUCCCCACCCACUGCGUCUUGAGUCUUUAAAUCAAUCCGCUUUCAUUCGCAAGACCUGCCUUCAAGUCGGCUCCUUGUGAUACAGAGGUAGAGGCC
rnacentral:lncRNA from 1 species